rnacentral:rRNA from 1 species
GAUGAACGCUGGCGGCGUGCCUAAUACAUGCAAGUCGAGCGAACGGACGAGAAGCUUGCUUCUCUGAUGUUAGCGGCGGACGGGUGAGUAACACGUGGAUAACCUACCUAUAAGACUGGGAUAACUUCGGGAAACCGGAGCUAAUACCGGAUAAUAUUUUGAACCGCAUGGUUCAAAAGUGAAAGACGGUCUUGCUGUCACUUAUAGAUGGAUCCGCGCUGCAUUAGCUAGUUGGUAAGGUAACGGCUUACCAAGGCAACGAUGCAUAGCCGACCUGAGAGGGUGAUCGGCCACACUGGAACUGAGACACGGUCCAGACUCCUACGGGAGGCAGCAGUAGGGAAUCUUCCGCAAUGGGCGAAAGCCUGACGGAUCAACGCCGCGUGAGUGAUGAGGGUCUUCGGAUCGUAAAACUCUGUUAUUAGGGAAGAACAUAUGUGUAAGUAACUGUGCACAUCUUGACGGUACCUAAUCAGAAAGCCACGGCUAACUACGUG